rnacentral:rRNA from 1 species
AGGACGAACGCUGGCGGCGUGCUUAACACAUGCAAGUCGAGCGGAAAGGCCCUUCGGGGUACUCGAGCGGCGAACGGGUGAGUAACACGUGAGCAACCUGCCCUUAGCUCCGGGAUAGCUCCGGGAAACCGGAAUUAAUACCGGAUACGACCACGGCCGACAUCUGCUGUGGUGGAAAGGAUUCCGGCUAAGGAUGGGCUCGCGGCCUAUCAGCUAGUUGGUGGAGUAACGGCCCACCAAGGCGACGACGGGUAGCCGGCCUGAGAGGGCGACCGGCCACACUGGGACUGAGACACGGCCCAGACUCCUACGGGAGGCAGCAGUGGGAAUAUUGCGCAAUGGGCGAAAGCCUGACGCAGCGACGCCGCGUGGGGGAUGAAGGCCUUCGGGUUGUAAACCCCUUUCAGCAGGGACGAAGCGAAAGUGACGGUACUGCAGAAGAGCGCCGGCUAACGUACGCGCCAGCAGCCGU